rnacentral:rRNA from 1 species
CUGGGUUGUCUCUGCUUCGCGCGUGAGUAAUGCCASGARUCUGCCUGGUAAUGGGGGAUAACGUCCGGAAACGGGCGCUAAUACCGCAUACGUCCUGAGGGAGAAAGUGGGGGAUCUUCGGACCUCACGCUAUCAGAUGAGCCUAGGUCGGAUUAGCUAGUUGGUGGGGUAAAGGCCUACCAAGGCGACGAUCCGUAACUGGUCUGAGAGGAUGAUCAGUCACACUGGAACUGAGACACGGUCCAGACUCCUACGGGAGGCAGCAGUGGGGAAUAUUGGACAAUGGGCGAAAGCCUGAUCCAGCCAUGCCGCGUGUGUGAAGAAGGUCUUCGGAUUGUAAAGCACUUUAAGUUGGGAGGAAGGGCAGUAAGUUAAUACCUUGCUGUUUUGACGUUACCAACAGAAUAAGCACCGGCUAACUUCGUGCCAGCAGCCGCGGUAAUACGAGGGUGCAAGCGUUAAUCGGAAUUACUGGGCGUAAAGCGCGCGUAGGUGGUUCAGCAAGUUGGAUGUGAAAUCCCCGGGCUCAACCUGGGAACUGCAUCCAAAACUACUGAGCUAGAGUACGGGUAGAGGGUGGUGGAAUUUCCUGUGUACCGGUGAAAUGCGUAGAUAUGAAAGGAACCAGUGGCGAAAGCGAACCACCUGGACGAUACUGGACUGA